AUUGAACGCUGGCGGCAAGCCUAACACAUGCAAGUCGCACGAGUGGCGGACGGGUGAGUAAUGUCUGGGAAACUGCCUGAUGGAGGGGGAUACCUACUGGAAACGGUAGCUAAUACCGCAUACCAUCGGAUGUGCCCCGAUGGGAUUAGCUAGUAGGUGGGGUAAAGGCUCACCUAGGCGACGAUCCCUAGCUGGUCUGAGAGGAUGACCAUCCACACGUGAAAUGAGACACGGGCCAGACUCCUACGGGAGGCAGCAUUUGGGAAUAUUGCACAAUGGGCGCAAGCCUGAUGCAGCCAUGCCGCGUGUAUGAAGAAGGCCUUCGGGUUGUAAAGUACUUUCAGCGUGGAGGCGUUACCCGCAGAAGAAGCACCGGCUAACUCCGUGCCAGCCGCCGCGGUAAUUC
rnacentral:rRNA from 1 species